CUACGGGUGGCACCAGUGGGGAAUAUUGGACAAUGGGGGAAACCCUGAUCCAGCAAUGCCGCGUGUGUGAAGAAGGCCUGCGGGUUGUAAAGCACUUUCGGUUGGGAGGACUGCUUCUAGCACUAAUAUUGUUGGAAGUUGACGUUACCUUCAGAAGAAGCACCGGCUAACUCCGUGCCAGCAGCCGCGGGUAAUACGGAGGGUGCAAGCGUUAAUCGGAAUUACUGGGCGUAAAGCGCGCGUAGGCGGCUAGAUCAGUCGGGUGUGAAAGCCCCGGGCUUAACCUGGGAACUGCAUCCGAUACGGUCUAGCUUGAGUACAGGAGAGGAGAGUGGAAUUCCACAUGUAGCGGUGAAAUGCGUAGAUAUGUGGAGGAACACCAAUGGCGAAGGCAGCUCUCUGGCCUGAUACUGACGCUGAGGUGCGAAAGCGUGGGGAGCAAACAGGAUUAGAUACCCUUGUAGUC
rnacentral:rRNA from 1 species